UUUAAGCUGGCAGAUAAAUGCAAUUAAUUUAGAAUUAAAAGAUUUACCUUAAUU
rnacentral:tRNA from 1 species